UGGUUAAUAAUAUGAUUGCCUUUGAUCCCAGCCAGAUGUAGUUAAAGGCGUCAUAUUAUACCAC
ensembl:miRNA gmo-mir-11210 gmo-mir-11210